UACGUAGGGUGCAAGCGUUGUCCGGAAUUAUUGGGCGUAAAGAGCUCGUAGGCGGUCUGUCGCGUCGAAUGUGAAAACCCGGGGCUCAACCCCGGGCCUGCAUUCGAUACGGGCAGACUAGAGUUCGGUAGGGGAGACUGGAAUUCCUGGUGUAGCGGUGGAAUGCGCAGAUAUCAGGAGGAACACCGGUGGCGAAGGCGGGUCUCUGGGCAGUAACUGACGCUGAGGAGCGAAAGCGUGGGGAGCGAACAGG
rnacentral:rRNA from 1 species